rnacentral:rRNA from 1 species
GGCAAGACGGAAAGACCCCGUGAACCUUUACUAUAGCUUGACACUGAACAUUGAGCCUUGAUGUGUAGGAUAGGUGGGAGGCUUAGAAGUGUGGACGCCAGUCUGCAUGGAGCCGACCUUGAAAUACCACCCUUUAAUGUUUGAUGUUCUAACGUUGACCCGUAAUCCGGGUUGCGGACAGUGUCUGGUGGGUAGUUUGACUGGGGCGGUCUCCUCCUAAAGAGUAACGGAGGAGCACGAAGGUUGGCUAAUCCUGGUCGGACAUCAGGAGGUUAGUGCAAUGGCAUAAGCCAGCUUGACUGCGAGCGUGACGGCGCGAGCAGGUGCGAAAGCAGGUCAUAGUGAUCCGGUGGUUCUGAAUGGAAGGGCCAUCGCUCAACGGAUAAAAGGUACUCCGGGGAUAACAGGCUGAUACCGCCCAAGAGUUCAUAUCGACGGCGGUGUUUGGCACCUCGAUGUCGGCUCAUCACAUCCUGGGGCUGAAGUAGGUCCCAAGGGUAUGGCUGUUCGCCAUUUAAAGUGGUACGCGAGCUGGGUUUAGAACGUCGUGAGACAGUUCGGUCCCUAUCUGCCGUGGGCGCUGGAGAACUGAGGGGGGCUGCUCCUAGUACGAGAGGACCGGAGUGGACGCAUCACUGGUGUUCGGGUUGUCAUGCCAAUGGCACUGCCCGGUAGCUAAAUGCGGAAGAGAUAAGUGCUGAAAGCAUCUAAGCACGAAACUUGCC